GACGAACGCUGGCGGCGUGCUUAACACAUGCAAGUCGAACGGAAAGGCCUCUUUCGGGGGGUACUCGAGUGGCGAACGGGUGAGUAACACGUGAGUAACCUGCCCUUGACUUUGGGAUAACUUCAGGAAACUGGGGCUAAUACCGGAUAGGAGCUCCUGCUGCAUGGUGGGGGUUGGAAAGUUUCGGCGGUUGGGGAUGGACUCGCGGCUUAUCAGCUUGUUGGUGGGGUAGUGGCUUACCAAGGCUUUGACGGGUAGCCGGCCUGAGAGGGUGACCGGCCACAUUGGGACCGAGAUACGGCCCAGACUCCUACGGGAGGCAGCAGUGGGGAAGAUUGCACAAUGGGUGGAAGCCUGAUGCAGCAACGCCGUGUGCGGGAUGACGGCCCUCGGGUUGUAAACCGCUUUCGCUCAUGACGAAGCUUUGUGUGACGGUAGUGGGUAAAGAAGCACCGGCUAACUACGUG
rnacentral:rRNA from 1 species